rnacentral:rRNA from 1 species
CAGUAGCCGCGGGAAUACGGAGGGUGCAAGCGUUAAUCGGAAUUACUGGGCGUAAAGGGCACGUAGGCGGUGAAAAGGGUGGAAAGUGAAAGUCGCCAAAACACUGGCGGGGUGCUUUCUUGACCAUUUCACUUGAGUGAGAUAGGGGAGAGUGGAAUUUCGUGUGGAGGGAUCAAAUCCUAAGAUAUACGAAGGAACGCCAACCGCGAAGGCAGCUCUCUGGGUCCCCACUGACGCUGGGGUGCGAAAGCAUGGGGAGCAAACAGGAUCAGAUACCCGGGUAGUCCCUGUCUCUUAUACA